GGGAGGUCGCCAAUGCGAUUAUCGUAACGUAAUGAUUUCCUUGCGACGGCAAAAAUAUCGGAUUUUACCCAAGUUCAAUUGCUUUGAAAAAGGUGAAAAAUAUAUUGUAUGAGCAAACAAUUGAUAUGUAAUUAAAGUUCAGACAUUUAUCUUUCUAAAUAUAUAAGUUUUAUGGGUAUUGCAGUGAUUUGGUUCGAUAAAAAAAAUGUUUGAAGUGGAGUUGUUUUGAAAAAAAUGGCCGCCGGAAAAACUAUGUGUCAAAGGUACUACUGAUUUUGAAAUUCAUUCCGCAAGCUAUUACUCGUCAGAUUUUCUUCAUUGAUGGCUUAAAAUUUUGGAAAUAUAUUCAAGUUUUAUGAUCCGGUUGUCAGUCAUACUUAACGGUCGAUUUUCAGUAUAGAUAUGAAAAAUCUUUGAAAUAGAUGUGAAAAAAAAAUCGUUUACGACUUUGUAAACACCACUGACACUCGGAUUCAUAAAUUCCAGAACUCUCUCCUUCCACACGUAUCCAUAGUUUCACAUGGAAAACAAUAGCGGCUUGCGGAAUUGAUUGGAUAUUUGUAUGAGCAGGGCGUGGUUUUCACGCAAAAAAUCUGCGAAAAGAGUUAUCUGUUCUUGACUUCCGGAAAUGACGUAUCCGCCAUUGUGUCUAACAUGAAACAUGAAACUUGUAACAAAAUGACUUUUACCGACUAUUUUUUGGACGGACUGCUUACUGAGAGGACAGACAACAUUGGAAAAAGGCCACGGAGGCCAAUCACGUAAGGAAUGAUACUGUCUGUCCAUCCAUCUGCCUGAAAGGAUCUUCUCCCAGUUAGACAGUCUCAUCAGAGUCAUGUGGAGAGUCACUAUACCAACGCCCUGGAGGGAAAUACCAAUAUUGGACUCAAAACCCAUACAGUGAAUUGGUUAGAAAGUUUGGAUGAAGCACAUCCUGAACAUAUAUGGUAAAUUCUGGUGAAGAAACAGCUCGGACCUGAAAAUAUAUACUUUAGAACAUUCAAUAAACUUAGUCAAAUGAUGAAUAGUUAAUGUAUCAUUAUUAUAAUGAAUACCAAAACAGUUCAGAUAGUCACUAUUGCAAAUCCCAAUGGAUUAUUAGACUUAAAGACUGCUUUGAUCUUGGUCUUUAUAUAUAAUAACUUCUCGACAUAUCCAUUUUUUAUAGGAAUAACAGGUUUUUCGCAAAAUAUUUACCAAUUUUUUUG